rnacentral:rRNA from 1 species
CCUACGGGAGGCAGCAGUGAGGAAUAUUGGUCAAUGGGCGCGAGCCCGAACCAGCUAAGUCACGUGAGGGAAGACGGUCCUAUGGUUUUUAAACCCCUUUUUUCGGGGAGCAAAAGACGCCACGCGUGGCGUUCCUAGAGUACCCGAAGAAAAAGCAUCGGCUAACUCCGUGCCAGCAGCGGCGGUAAUACGGAGGAUGCGAGCGUUAUCCGGAUUUAGUGGGUUUAAAGGGUGCGCAGGGGGAAGAUAAAGUCAGCGGUAAAAUUGAGAGGCUCAACCUCUUCGAGCCGUUGAAACUGGUUUACUUGAGUGAGCGAGAAGUAUGCGGAAUGCGUGGUGUAGCGGUGAAAUGCAUAGAUA